rnacentral:rRNA from 1 species
AGUGAACGCUGGCGGUAGGCCUAACACAUGCAGGUCGAACGGCAGCACAGUAAGAGCUUGCUCUUACGGGUGGCGAGUGGCGGACGGGUGAGGAAUACAUCGGAAUCUACUUUUUCGUGGGGGAUAACGUAGGGAAACUUACGCUAAUACCGCAUACGACCUACGGGUGAAAGCAGGGGAUCUUCGGACCUUGCGCGAUUGAAUGAGCCGAUGUCGGAUUAGCUAGAUGGCGGGGUAAAGGCCCACCAAGGCGACGAUCCGUAGCUGGUCUGAGAGGAUGAUCAGCCACACUGGAACUGAGACACGGUCCAGACUCCUACGGGAGGCAGCAGUGGGGAAUAUUGGACAAUGGGCGCAAGCCUGAUCCAGCCAUACCGCGUGGGUGAAGAAGGCCUUCGGGUUGUAAAGCCCUUUUGUUGGGAAAGAAAAGCAGCAGGUUAAUACCCCGCUGUUCUGACGGUACCCAAAGAAUAAGCACCGGCUAACUUCGUG